rnacentral:misc_RNA from 1 species
AGUGGGACUCCUACUGGAGGCAUCAGUGGGACUCCUUCUGCAGGCAGCAGUGGGGAAAUUGGCUCAGAACGAACGCUGGCGGCCCCACUCCUACGGGAGGCAGCAGUGGGACUCCUACGGGAGGCAGCAGUGGGACUCCUACGGGAGGCAGCAGUGGGACAGUUGGCUCAGAACGAACGCUGGCGGCCCCACUCCUACGGGAGGGCAGCAGUGG